ACAUUUUUAUUCUACAAUGUACAUGCACCAGAGAUAGUGAAUGAGCUGAACAUUACAUUGUCAAUGUUCCCAGAAAAUUACCUUCAUGUUUCAGCUAGAGAGACGUGAUUUUGUUCUGUAGUGCAAAGCACAAUAUUCAACAAUACUUUGAUCAUUAGAGUUAGAAUUCUCAUCAAAAUUUUGGAAGACCUGAUCACCUUAGACUACGAAGGUAUUUUCAAUGAGGAACUCUAGCAUAUUUUCAAUUUCAACUUCUGGAUACUCUGUACAAGGAAUCGGAGUGAUGUUUAACGAGUUUGUCCCAGAGGAUGGAACUUGUAUUGUCGCCACGGUUAAUUAUUUUCUAAAGAGAAAGUAACGCUAAAAGACGCAAUUAGCAAGUGUGUUGAUGCGGUAGGAAGUGGCCGUCUCGCUGAAGUUGGGGGCUACCGCGAAGAGAAAUGGCUGGAACUUCAGAUUAAAUUAAGAGGUAAGC